rnacentral:pre_miRNA from 1 species
AAUAAACGAAUUUUUGAGUUUUUAUAUAAUUUUUGACUCUUCGUCUUAUUUAAAAAUUUUUUAUGAUUAAUAUUUUUAUUGUUAUUAUAUAAUAAAACAUAAAUAAUAUUUUAUAUAUAACUAUUUUUUAAAAAAAUUAAAAUUUUUUAAAUAAGACGAAUGGUCAAACGAUCAACCUGGAAACUCA